GGGAGAACAGGCGCUGCCGUAAAGCUUAGUGUAAAAGCGCACAAAAUUUAUGCGGCGGAUUAGAGGCGGCUGGCUCGACCGCGGCUCACAAAUGACGGCUCACUUGGCCGCGAUGAAAUGAGGGCUAAAACGUGAGACUGGGAUUUUUUUUCAUAAUUGUUUUCCUUCACCCACGGACAAAUGGAUCAAGCAGAGCAGCUGGAGGAGAUCUCUGCUUGGUGUAAAGAGGAAGGUCUUCCUCCUGACUCCUCAAAGGAAGCUCAGCUGUGUUUGCUAUGGCGUGCCCUUCAGCACACGAUGAGCCGCCUCAGCAAAGUGACCAGAGACCUGGAAACCCACCGCUCUCAGCACUUAGCAGAAAUGGCGGAGGUACGCAAGUCGCUGGAGCAGAUCAGAUUCUUCACGGAGCACAAAAAUGUUUUGGCUCAGGAGAUACAAGAAGAGAAUGAUCACCUUAAGGAGCAGCUGCGGCACCUAAUAUCACUUCAAGAUGCCCAGAUUAGCGAGGUGGCUAAAAUGCUGUACCAACAGGGUCUCACAGAGUUGAUUCACAGCAGCCCCAGUGAGCAGGUGGCAUACCUCCUGGUGGAGAGGGCUUCCCUGCUUGAGACAAGUGAGCUUACAGACAAGGUGAAGGGAUAUGGAAACACAGCCAAUCAUAUGGGGACAGGAGCACAAGUGAAGAGGACCGGCGUAUCCCAGGCUGCCCACAAGGGGGCACCACGUCAUGGGCAGAGCGCAUGGAAAAAACUCUUUGGACUCAAGUCUUCACAGAACAAACAUACUUUUAUUCCUUGUUAUUUAGCUCUGUUCUGAGCACAGGUUAGGGAAUUUGCAUGGCAGAAGAAUUUCAAGAUACUACCCGACUGAUGCAUCUUGACACACUGCACUUCUCAAGGUGUCCAAUUCUUGCAUGGACCUCUAAACAUUUACUCUGCUGAGGCCAGAUUUUUGGCUGGCCAGGAAAGCAGUUUGGGGAGAGAAUGCUCCCGGCUGGAGCGGGACCUGGAGGAGGGCUCCCGUCGGCUGGCAAUGGCGCACAAUGAGAUCCGGCGUUUGACUGAUGAGCUGGAGUCUGCUCAUUUGACCCAGAGAGCGUAUGAGCCUGAGCUGCAAUCAGCACAGCAGGAGGUGGAGCAGCUCCGGCAGGAGGUAGAAAAGCUGAAGAAAUAUGAAAUUGUGGAAUUGCGAAAGACCAAAGAGCUAAAUGAUCGCCUGGACCUCGAGAUCCGAGCCUUGAGGAAUAGGGUUCGCUCAUUGGAUGCUGAGAAAACCUCUUUGCAGCAGACGGUCGUGUCGCUGCAAGAAGAAGCAGAGCAGCUGAAGGCAGCCUUACAGGAGGAGCUCCUAACUAAACAGGCUCCAGCCAAACAAGUAACAGAGAUGACUGAAGUUGUGUCUCUAAAGAAGAAGGCAGAGCGACUGGAGUCAGCCCUACAAGAGCAGCAGCAGCAACUUCUCACUGUGCAAGUUCAGGCCAACCAUGCCAACGAAUUAGCCAAAAUACAUUCUCUUCAGCAGCAGGUUGACUGUGCCCAAACCAGCGUGGAUAACCUUGUGCUAAAUAUCAACAGCAGUGAAGACAUCCCGCAGGAUCAAAAGCUGCUGAAACAAAAAAAGGCAGAUCCCCAUCUUUUUGUAAACACUCAGUCGCAUGACUCCUUUAUGACAGCGGAUGAAGAGCCACAGACGAUAAAGUACGAAGAAAACGCACCACAAAAGGAGUGUAUUAACUGUCAACAAGCAAUGAAAACUCUGCUGUCCUCCCAAGAGGAGUGUGAGGCACUUAAAAAGGAGAUCUGCGAAACCCUGAAAUGCAUUGAUGAGGAGCGAAGCAAAUUCCACAAGAUGAAGCAAAAACACAAGGCCAAACUUUGCAGAGCCAAACAGAAAUUUGAAGAUGAAACCACAUGGCGUGAUGAGAAGAUAAAAAGUCUAGAGAGAGAAUUGUCCUUGUGCUGUCAUUCAGUAGCAAAGGAGAAGGAGCUUGUCAUAAGCAUAACUGUGGAAAAUGAGAAACUACUCUCUGAGAGGAGGAAGCUACUGCAACAGCUAAACGAGGAGGAGCACAAGAAGAAGGAUAGUUGUCUAAAAGCUUCUUUAUCCAAAUGCAGGGUGGAACUUUUAGAGCUGGAAAACAAGAAACUCGGAAACCAAAUAUCACAAAUGUCCAACCAGCUCGCUGUCCUGGAGUUCAGCCUGCAGAAGACACAGCUGCUUCACUUUGCUGAGAAACUUAAGAAAAUGCCAGAUGACCAGCAAGUUUUCAAGUCUCUUCCUCAGCAGUCUUCAAGUGUGAUUUCACCCGAGCUGUCUGAAGCUCAGGGCUUGUUGGAUGGUACACUUAGAGGUCACUCCAAGCAGACAGAUGGGACUUGUUACAGUCAUGCGUCUGAGAUUUUGUGUCAGUCAGCAGAUAUGAGCUACCUGAACCUGACCUCCACACAAAAAAACCACUUGGACCGCUCACCUCCCCUGGCUGCCCUCAGCAGCCUUGAAAAUCUGCCUUCCUGAAGUUUUCUGUUUUGAGUGUGAUCAUGAACUAUUUUAUUUGUAUGUUAAAUUAAUAAAUAAGAUACAAAAUGGGUUUGAAUUUCAUUAAAUCAAAUUAAACCAGCCUG
ensembl:lncRNA